CAUGAAAUACAAAGACAGGGGCUGCCUAGCUUGGACGAAGAGACUGGAGUAGAAACUAGGAAGAUAUAUGGGCUUUGAAAAAAUGAGUAGAAAUGUAAUCUGAAAACAAAUUAGCAAGAAUGAAGAAAAGAGAGUUAAGACAGUGAAAACCAAAUCCCAUAUAGCACUGCAAUAGAAGCACCAGUUACAAUAUACAAUAAUCAUGGUCCUAAAAUAUAUGUCUCAAAUAGCGAAAUACAAAAGAUUGAUAUACUCCAAAGAAAAAAUAUAACCGCUAAUUAGACAGAAUAAGUUGAGAGUCCUUUUGAGUUUGAGUCAUUUAGUAAAUCAGAACCGACUUUCACAAAAACAACACAUCCUAAUUAAUGUAGUGAACUUCUCACUAAUGACAAAUUUAUAGCAUCAUUUUAUAUCAUUAUUAUACUGAGAAAUUCUCAAAUGGGCAAGUAGCUACAGAGCAAAACCAUAGUACGAGACAACAAUUGCAGGCCACAAGCCUGAUUUUCGAGGGUUAACUCCAUUACAGCCUUGGUUCAGGCGACACUGGAAUCUAGGCUCUAGCUAAUAACAUAACAUAAUAACAGAGUUCUUUCAAUGUGUGGUUACUUACUUAAAAGAGCUUUACACCUUGAUGAACCAGCUUCUAGGCUCUAGCUAAGCAGCUCUGCUUAUUAAAGACAGACGACAUAUUAAAGAGUGUUAGAAUUUACAAGACAGUNGAACAGUAGUACACAUACAAUUUGGUAAUUGUUUAAAGUAAGACUUGCAUUCUUACUAUUUACGCGUGGCAUGAGUUUAGUUGACAUAAAAAUUCAUAUUGAUAAACAGAAUAUGAAAUAGAUAUAUGAAAUAUGCUAAAUCCCCAUCCUGUAUUUUCACAACAGAAUCCGAGCAUCCCUGCAGUGCUCAUCCGCACCAAUAUCUUUUCUUUCUCUCCUCUUUUAGGAACAGGGGUCUUGCAACCCAGGUCUUAACUAUAUUUAUAUUAGCAAAGAAGAAACUUACAAGAAAGGGAUGCUUCGUAGAAGCAUCUUACCAAACAACAGUAGCCACUCACGCAUCACAACAAAAAAUUUUACGAUACCAUGAUCCAUCAUCAAUUUCUACAAGCAGGUGCUACUACUCCUACUCGUUUACACGACAACACAACACAACUUUUUUAGAGACUUUUUAUCGAACACCUAAUACACAUUAUUCGAACACAAACAUAUGACACGAAAUCAAUAGCGAAAACAUACUUUCGAAAACGCAACUGCCUGAUAAACAGAUACAUUAACACAUAAAUCAGCUAGAUUAACAAAUAAUUCAUCUAAAUCAAUCUACAGAUUACACAAUUUAGCAAGAUUAAUGAAACAAAUUCAAAUGGAUCAAGCUCGAACCUGUAUGCUUAGAUUGAUUUAGGUUUGAAAAUCAUUGCAAAUGAUAAAAGGAAUCGUUGAGAUGCGUGGUUUGAAGAUUCUAGCUGCUUUCCAGAUUAAGGAUUAGCUGAGUGUAGAGAGGGGGAGAGGCAGAAAAGGAAGAGAGAGAUGCGAGGAAGAGAGAGAGGAGAGAGAGAUGCGAGA
rnacentral:lncRNA from 1 species